rnacentral:rRNA from 1 species
CCUACGUGAGGCAGCAGUGAGGAAUAUUGGUCAAUGGGCUUACGCCUGAACCAGCCAAGUCGCGUGAGGGAAGACUGCCCUAUGGGUUGUAAACUUCUUUUAUAUGGGAAUAAAACAGGGUAUGCAUACCCUCUUGUAUGUACCAUAUGAAUAAGGAUCGGCUAACUCCGUGCCAGCAGCCGCGGUAAUACGGAGGAUCCGAGCGUUAUCCGGAUUUAUUGGGUUUAAAGGGAGCGUAGGUGGAUUGUUAAGUCAGUUGUGAAAGUUUGCGGCUCAACCGUAAAAUUGCAGUUGAAACUGGCAGUCUUGAGUACAGUAGAGGUGGGCGGAAUUCGUGGUGUAGCGGUGAAAUGCUUAGAUAUCACGAAGAACUCCGAUUGCGAAGGCAGCUCACUGGACUGCAACUGACACUGAUGCUCGAAAGUGUGGGUAUCAAACAGGAUUAGAUACCCGAGUAGUC